UGCUUUGUCCAAAGUUAGUGGACAAAUUAUCGUAAGUGGCCUGCAAAGGAUUGUUAAUUUUAAUUAUUUCUUUUUUGUUUCUUGUGUCAUGGUUCAUUGAUUUUAGAUAGCUUAUGAAUACUGAAAUAUCAUAUAGGAGCAAUAAUUUGAUUACAAUAUUUAUCUAUAUCUAAUAAGAGAGGCAAAAACCUUAUGUGUCAAUAUUAAAAAAAUUGUAUUUAAAAAAAAUAAAAAUUUAUCUAUAAAUAUUUAAAAAAAGAUAAUUAAAAAUAAAAAAUCUAUCUAUAUUUGCAUAUUAACUACCUCUGUAUAAACUGCAUAUUAACUAGCCCUAAAGCAAAUAGAUAUUUUUGAGCCUCUUUUAUAGAGACUGAAACACAUUGUUGGGUUCCAUUUUAUAGCAAACAAAAAAAAAAACAGAAAAAUAUAGGCCAAAUACAACAUCACAAUCAAAGGAAUCAGUGUUGUUGAAUACAUUAGCAAUUUGUCAUAGAUGGAUAAAUAUCUAACAACUGAAGCAACACUCUUUUAAAUGUAAUCGCAAAAACAAAAUACUUGCAGCAACAACGGAAUCAAAAUGCUUUUCAGAGACCAAUACUGUCAUCGUCAUCUUCUUCGUUGCGGUGUUGAAAAAGUAUUAUUUGGGCAGAUUCAAAAGACGGUUAUGUUAUGAACCUAAUUUCAAACCACUCACUUCUCGCAUUGUUGAUCUUACUCACAGAAGGCAACUCCACCAGAUUUUCAUUAAGAAAAGCAUAUCUGAAAGACGAUGGUCAAUCACUUCCAGAUGAGAAGGGUUGAGCUUUGCAGUUAGUGAGGAUUCUACUUGCUCCUUUGUCACCCCCAUGAUCGAAACUACUCUUGCACUUGCACCGCUUUGCUUUUCUUUUAUUCUGAGUUUUGCCCUUCUUUUGAGCGAAAAUUCAUACCCACAAGUAAAGCCAUAAUUUGUAAAUUUCAAAAAUUUGCACUUGAAGAUGAUUGGUAAAUUUCAUUUAUAAAUAUAAACGUUAGCUCUUCA